UAAUAUCGGGAGUGCCGACUUAAACAUCGUGUCGUUAUCGCAAAGUGUUAAAUAAUGUCGAAGCGUAGUCCAAUCGAGCAUCGGGAGUAUUAGAUUUUGAUGAUGAAUGUCGGAAUAAUCCGGCGACGACAAGCGUAUAAAUCUGCAUAUCGGAACGUGUCGCGAAUAUUAAUCCAAUGCUCCCGAGGAAUGUCGUUUUUCGAAAUCUCAACCCAAAUCAUCGAAUAGAUCGAGAGAUCUUCGCAUGGUGUUAAUUAAGAAAUGCCGACGCGCGUCUUCCUUCGACAUUGCUUUCACGAGCGUUUCUCUUAUCAGAGAAACGCUAGGCGACACAAUAAGACGGAAAUCUGCUGGAAGGAAGACGUCAUGGAUGGAAGGCAAGAGGAGAGUUUAUCUCGGAAAUAAAAGUACGAAUAAAUAAAACGGAGAACGAAUGCACGAAUGUUCGUACAUUAGCCUCCGCGAGAAUGCAUCCAAGGAUGCCAUACUCUUGGUUGCGUCCUUCGAUCAAGCGUAUGCAUAGAGAUCUAUGGAUAAAGACAUCGAGCAUAGAGAUGCAGAAAGUGUAUGGAUACUUUAGACACAUCGACAUUCUUUCCUCACCUCCCCUCCCCUGCCUUGCAAUACUUCACUGCUGUGUUUAUUUUUUUAUUAUGAAAGUCCUAAUUGAAAAUGCAAUAAUUUUUAAUGAUUAAUUUUAAGAUAUCUACGAAUUUUAUAAUCAUAUAUUAUCGAAUUUUCAUAGUUUGAUAUAAUGCAAAAAAAUCAUGCUUAAUACAAUAAAUUUCAUUCGUUAUUAGUGGAAAGAAGAUCUAAAAAGAUUUUUCCGUGAAAAAUACAAAUAUAAUACACAGUAUAAAAUUUUGUUAUUAUAACAAACUUAUUAUAAUAAAUAUUAUUAUUAAAUGUCUUUUCAUCAUGUCCACGAAAUAUUUUACGCAUUAUGUGUACGAUCUUUGAUGUUUUUCAACAUUUUUUGCUAAAAAGAAAAGAUUUUUAAAUAAUUAAAGAACCAAUAUUUAAAAUAUGGCAUAU